CGCGGGAUGGAGCAGUUUGGCAGCUCGUCGGGCUCAUAACCCGGAGGUCGUCGGUUCAAAUCCGGCUCCCGCAACCA
rnacentral:tRNA from 1 species